GUCGCUUCAAGCGAUAUCAUGGCGGUGUAGCUCAGCUGGCUAGAGCGUACGGUUCAUACCCGUGAGGUCGGGGGUUC
rnacentral:tRNA from 1 species